UACAGAGGUCCCAAGCGUUGUUCGGAUUCAUUGGGCGUAAAGGGUGCGUAGGUGGCGCGCUAAGUCAGGUGUGAAAUUUCGGAGCUUAACUCCGAAACUGCAUUUGAUACUGGCGUGCUUGAGGACUGGAGAGGAGACUGGAAUUUACGGUGUAGCAGUGAAAUGCGUAGAGAUCGUAAGGAAGACCAGUGGCGAAGGCGGGUCUCUGGACAGUUCCUGACACUGAGGCACGGAAGGCCAGGGGAGCAAACGGG
rnacentral:rRNA from 1 species